rnacentral:rRNA from 1 species
GCCUACGGGGCGCAGCAGUAGGGAAUCUUCCACAAUGGGCGAAAGCCUGAUGGAGCAACGCCGCGUGGGUGAAGAAGGUCUUCGGAUCGUAAAACCCUGUUGUUAGAGAAGAAAGUGCGUGAGAGUAACUGUUCACAUUUCGACGGUAUCUAACCAGAGAGCCACGGCUAACUACGUGCCAGCAGCCGCGGUAAUACGUAGGUGGCAAGCGUUAUCCGGAUUUAUUGGGCGUAAAGGGAACGCAGGCGGUCUUUUAAGUCUGAUGUGAAAGCCUUCGGCUUAGCCGGAGUAGUGCAUUGGAAACU